rnacentral:sRNA from 1 species
AAGGCCACAGGGUCAGCCGCGCGGGUGACCAUCAAAUAGUCACGGAUGGCCAUUCCGUGGCGCCCUUC